UACGGAGGGUGCGAGCGUUUAAUCGGAAUUACUGGGCGUAAAGCGCACGUAGGCGGUUAGGUAAGUCGGAUGUGAAAGCCCUGGGCUUAACCUGGGAACUGCAUUCGAUACUGCCUGGCUAGAGUAUGGGAGAGGGAAGCGGAAUUUCCGGUGUAGCGGUGAAAUGCGUAGAUAUCGGAAGGAACACCAAUGGCGAAGGCAGCUUCCUGGCCCAAUACUGACGCUCAGGUGCGAAAGCGUGGGGAUCAAACAGGG
rnacentral:rRNA from 1 species